rnacentral:rRNA from 1 species
AUUGAACGCUGGCGGCAGGCCUAACACAUGCAAGUCGAACGAGUGGCGGACGGGUGAGUAAUGUCUGGGAACUGCCUGAUGGAGGGGGAUAACUACUGGAAACGGUAGCUAAUACCGCAUACUAUCGGAUAACCCAUAUGGGAUUAGCUAGUAGGUGAGGUAAUGGCUCACCUAGGCGACGAUCCCUAGCUGGUCUGAGAGGAUGAUCAGCCACACUGGGACUGAGACACGGCCCAGACUCCUACGGAGGCAGCAGUGGGGAAUAUUGGACAAUGGGCGCAAGCCUGAUGCAGCCAUGCCGCGUGUAUGAAGAAGGCCUUCGGGUUGUAAAGUACUUUCAGUCGGGAGGCGUUACCGACAGAAGAAGCACCGGCUAACUCCGUGCCAGCAGCCGCGGUAAUAC